rnacentral:rRNA from 1 species
CCCGUGAGAACGCCCUUUUACCUCAGUCAGACAAAGGAGCAGGCAUCAGGCACAGAAUUCUAGCCCAUAACGCCUAGUUAUACCACACCCUCAAGGGUACUCAGCAGUGACAAAUAUUAUACAUAAGCGUCAGCUUGAUUUAGUUAAAGAAAGUUAGAGCCGGCUAAUCUGGUGCCAGCCGCCGCGGCUACACCAGCAGGCUCAAGUUGAUAAACGCCGGCGUUAAGCGUGAUUAAAGAAAACCUAAAUUAGAGUUAAACAUGCAUUUAGUAGUGAUAAGCUUAUUACCUGGAAUAACAAAAACGAAAGUUACUCUAAUUCUGCUUGAAUACACGACAGCCAGGGUACAAACUGGGAUUAGAU